rnacentral:rRNA from 1 species
AGUGAACGCUGGCGGUAGGCCUAACACAUGCAAGUCGAACGGCAGCACAGUAAGAGCUUGCUCUUACGGGUGGCGAGUGGCGGACGGGUGAGGAAUACAUCGGAAUCUACUUUUUCGUGGGGGAUAACGUAGGGAAACUUACGCUAAUACCGCAUACGACCUACGGGUGAAAGCAGGGGAUCUUCGGACCUUGCGCGAUUGAAUGAGCCGAUGUCGGAUUAGCUAGUUGGCGGGGUAAAGGCCCACCAAGGCGACGAUCCGUAGCUGGUCUGAGAGGAUGAUCAGCCACCCUGGAAGUGAGACACGGUACAGACUCCUGCGGGAGGCAGCAGUGGGGAAUAUUGGACGAUGGGGGCAAGCCUGAUCCGGCCAUACCGCGUGGGUGAAGAAGGCCUUCGGGUUGUAAAGCCCUUUUGUUGGGAAAGAAGAGCAGCAGGUUAAUCCCCCGCUGUUCUGACGGUACCCAAAGAAUAAGCACCGGCUAACUUCGUG